rnacentral:rRNA from 1 species
GGUCAAUAGCCUAACGGCUGAACCAGCAACUUGAAGGAAUGUAUAGCGAAAGCUAGUUGUCGCCUACAAGUUCUAAGCUUUCUUUUAAAGAAAAAUUAAAGAAAAAGAAAAAUGUGGUGCAAUCUUGACUCGAUCAAAUAAAGUUCUAGGUAGAGUUAUGAUGAUGACAUACUCUAUCUAUUUGUCUUGACCAAAUUACGUGCCAGCAGUCGCGGUAAUACGUAAAAGACUAGCGUUAUUCAUCUUUAAUGGGUUUAAAGGGUACCUAGACGGCUAAUAAAGCUCCAAAAGAGUACUAAUUAGCUAGAGUCUGAUAUAAAGAGGCAAUAAAGUACUGAUAGUUUAGAGAUGAAAUCCUACGAUACUAUAUAUGGCACUGGUAAUAGCGAAAGCGUCCUCUUAUGUAAUGACUGACUG